rnacentral:rRNA from 1 species
GACGAACGCUGGCGGCGUGCCUAAUACAUGCAAGUAGAACGCUGAAGGAGGAGCUUGCUUCUCUGGAUGAGUUGCGAACGGGUGAGUAACGCGUAGGUAACCUGCCUGGCAGCGGGGGAUAACUAUUGGAAACGAUAGCUAAUACCGCAUAAUAGUAGAUGUUGCAUGACAUUUACUUAAAAGGUGCAAUUGCAUCACUACCAGAUGGACCUGCGUUGUAUUAGCUAGUUGGUGGGGUAACGGCUCACCAAGGCGACGAUACAUAGCCGACCUGAGAGGGUGAUCGGCCACACUGGGACUGAGACACGGCCCAGACUCCUACGGGAGGCAGCAGUAGGGAAUCUUCGGCAAUGGACGAAAGUCUGACCGAGCAACGCCGCGUGAGUGAAGAAGGGUUUCGGAUCGUAAAGCUCUGUUGUAAGAGAAGAACGAGUGUGAGAGUGGAAAGUUCACACUGUGACGGUAUCUUACCAGAAAGAGACGGCUAACUACGUG